AAGACUAUACUUUCAGGGAUCAUUUCUAUAGUAUGUUACUAGAGACUCCUCAUUGUAUGAGACCAAAUCCCUGCAUACUACUUGGA
rnacentral:sRNA from 1 species